UAUAUCACCAGUUCUCGUACGAUCACCAGAGUUAAGCAACGGCGAGCCUGGUCAGUACCUAAAUAGGUGAUAACUUGGGAGUACCAGGUGUUGUAAG